rnacentral:rRNA from 1 species
GACGAACGCUGGCGGCGUGCCUAAUACAUGCAAGUAGGACGCAGUUGCGAACGGGUGAGUAAAGCGUAGGUAACUGCCUAUUAGAGGGGGAUAACUAUUGGAAACGAUAGCUAAUAACGCAUACUAGUAGCUGGACCUGCGUUAUAUUAGCUAGUAGGUAGGGUAAUGGCAUACCUAGGCGACGAUACAUAGCCGACCUGAGGUGGGGAUCGGGCACACGUGGACGUGUACACGACCCAGACGCCUACGAUCUGCAGCAGUCGGGAAAUUUCGGGAAUGGGGGGAACCCUGACCGAGCACCGCCGCGGCAGUGAAGAAGGUUUUCGGAUCGUAAAGAUCUUCAGUAAAGGCAGCGGUACUUAACCAAAAAGGAACGGCAAACUACGUGCCAGCAGCCGCGGUAAUAC